CUGGUCUUAGCGAAGUGGUUACUACAACAGAGUCGAAAUCUGUUGGCCUGCGCAGGUUCGAAACUUGCCGAUCUUG